CUGGCUGUCGGUAGGAGGGUUCACAGCAGUGCGUGUGUGGUUGUUGACUGAAGCAACACAGCGUCAGCAGGUCGGGGCUUGCCAAACGGUGGAGCAGUACAGAGCUCCAAGGGAAUAGCUGGACCUCAGACAAUGGCCGAUAGGGUCCAGCUCCACGUCACUCCACAUCUGGUGCAAGGGAUAUUCACAUUAAUACACGUAUCAAGAUCUCUAUAAACACGUCAUUGAUGGUGCAACUUGACCUGUUUGCUUGCAAAAACUUGCAUUGAAGCCAAACUCACUGUGUCUGUCGUAGACAAGGAAGAAACUCUGUGAAACUUUGUUUUUGAGACUGAUGACUGUCUGCUCAGUGUCGAGUCCCUGAAUGAGCAGUCACUCUGUGACACUGAUAUGCAGUCCCUCCUGGUGGCCUGGGCUAGGAAGUGUAGACAGGGAACCUUUUCUGCUAGGGUGUCCCUGUUGAAAAAUAAUUAUCUCUCAGCAAAACCUCUGUUAUCUUUCCCCUCUCUCUCCCCUGUUAUUUUUAAGCUUAGCUCACCUGUAUUUCGCGUGAAUGAUGGCGUAGAUAAAAGGGUUGUAGAUGGCCGAUGCUUUGGCUAUAACAGCAGGGACAGCUUUGGAAUAGGGAUUGAGGAUGCUUCCAUAUCUGAAAGGUGUAAAGCAUUUGUAAAGAAUAGAACUGUGCAUCACCUGUGUUGUGGUACUGGUAAUUAGUUUGACCGUAUACAAGAAGUAGAAUAUGGUUCAUGGUUAAUGGCUGAAAUGAAUUACAUAGAGCAAGCUAGCAUGUUUUAUGCCAGGGUCUACCAUGCUGAAUGCACACAACAAAUGCAGUUAAACUAUUACAUGAUUAUAUCAUAAAGAGCCCUUGACAGUUGUCAUACUGUAUAUUUACCCAGCCCAGGCGAUGAGUGUGACACAUGCAUAAGGCGACCAGGAAAGCACAAACACUAUGAUGACCACAAAGGCAAUCUUGGCCAGCUUCCAUUCAGUCUUGAUGGACUGCUGCUGGAUCAGGGUUGAUUUCCUCACCUGGCACCCCAA